rnacentral:rRNA from 1 species
CACAGUCCUUAGAGUUUGAUCCUGGCUCAGGAUGAACGCUAGCUACAGGCUUAACACAUGCAAGUCGAGGGGAAACGACAUCGAAAGCUUGCUUUUGAUGGGCGUCGACCGGCGCACGGGUGAGUAACGCGUAUCCAACCUGCCCACCACUUGGGGAUAACCUUGCGAAAGUAAGACUAAUACCCAAUGAUAUCUCUAGAAGACAUCUGAAAGAGAUUAAAGAUUUAUCGGUGAUGGAUGGGGAUGCGUCUGAUUAGCUUGUUGGCGGGGUAACGGCCCACCAAGGCGACGAUCAGUAGGGGUUCUGAGAGGAAGGUCCCCCACAUUGGAACUGAGACACGGUCCAAACUCCUACGGGAGGCAGCAGUGAGGAAUAUUGGUCAAUGGACGAGAGUCUGAACCAGCCAAGUAGCGUGCAGGAUGACGGCCCUAUGGGUUGUAAACUGCUUUUAUAAGGGAAUAAAGUGAGUCUCGUGAGACUUUUUGCAUGUACCUUAUGAAUAAGGACCGGCUAAUUCCGUGUCAGCAGCCGCGGUAAUACGGAAGGUCCGGGCGUUAUCCGGAUUUAUUGGGUUUAAAGGGAGCGUAGGCCGGAGAUUAAGCGUGUUGUGAAAUGUAGACGCUCAACGUCUGCACUGCAGCGCGAACUGGUUUCCUUGAGUACGCACAAAGUGGGCGGAAUUCGUGGUGUAGCGGUGAAAUGCUUAGAUAUCAUGAAGAACUCCGAUCGCGAAGGCAGGCAUCCGGGGUGCAACUGACGCUGAGGCUCGAAAGUGCGGGUAUCAAACAGGAUUAGAUACCCUGGUAGUCCGCACAGUAAACGAUGAAUACUCGCGGUUUGCGAUACAGUGUAAGCCGCCAAGCGAAAGCGUUAAGUAUUCCACCUGGGGAGUACGCCGGCAACGG